UACGUAGGGGGCAAGCGUUGUCCGGAAUCAUUGGGCGUAAAGAGCGUGUAGGCGGCUCGAUAAGUCUGCUGUGAAAGUCCAGGGCUCAACCCUGGAAGGCCGGUGGAAACUGUCGGGCUAGAGUCCGGAAGAGGCGAGUGGAAUUCCCGGUGUAGCGGUGAAAUGCGCAGAUAUCGGGAGGAACACCAAUGGCGAAGGCGGCACUCUGGGACGGUACUGACGCUGAGACGCGAAAGCGUGGGGAGCGAACAGG
rnacentral:rRNA from 1 species